rnacentral:rRNA from 1 species
CCUACGGGGGGCAGCAGUGAGGAAUAUUGGUCAAUGGACGAGAGUCUGAACCAGCCAAGUAGCGUGAAGGAUGACUGCCCUAUGGGUUGUAAACUUCUUUUAUAUGGGAAUAAAAUGUUCCACGUGUGGGAUUUUGUAUGUACCAUAUGAAUAAGGAUCGGCUAACUCCGUGCCAGCAGCCGCGGUAAUACGGAGGAUCCGAGCUUUAUCCGGAUUUAUUGGGUUUAAAGGGAGCGUAGGUGGAUUGUUAAGUCAGUUGUGAAAGUUUGCGGCUCAACCGUAAAAUUGCAGUUGAAACUGGCAGUCUUGAGUACAGUAGAGGUGGGCGGAAUUCGUGGUGUAGCGGUGAAAUGCUUAGAUAUCACGAAGAACUCCGAUUGCGAAGGCAGUUCACUGGACUGCAACUGACACUGAGGCUCGAAAGUGUGGGUAUCAAACAGGAUUAGAUACCCUUGUAGUC